UCCCUGUUAGUUCAGUUGGUAGAACGGCGGACUGUUAAUCCGUAUGUCGCUGGUUCAAGUCCAGCACAGGGAGCCA
rnacentral:tRNA from 3 species